UACGUAGGGGCAAGCGUUGUCCGGAUUCAUUGGGCGUAAAGAGCUCGUAGGCGGUUCGGCAAGUCGGGUGUGAAACUCCAGGCUCAACCUGGAGACGCCACCCGAUACUGCUGUGACUUGAGUCCGGUAGGGGACCACGGAAUUCCUGGUGUAGCGGUGAAAUGCGUAGAUAUUGGGAGGAACACCAGUGGCGAAGGCGGCUCACUGGACCGGUACUGACGCUGAUGCGCGAAAGCGUGGGGAGCAAACGGG
rnacentral:rRNA from 1 species